AUUUGGGUUUGUAAAUUGAUCUUUUGUCUGUGUUGAGUUGUCCUUGUGCAGGAUUGCUGGAUGAGUUCGGUGUUAGUGGCCAAACAGCGGGGUCAUUAAAGCAGUAGAGGGAAACAACAUCUGUUAAUACAGACUUUUUUCAUAAAGUAGUAGCUGUCCAAAAUAAACACGAUUAUUAAUGCAUAGGCCAAACGUAGAUGCGUGUAUUUAUUAUCUCUUUGUAGUCUCAAAUUACAGAAAGAGGAUACUCUAAAGGUCAGUGUAUUUCUUACAUUGCAGUGACAAGCGUUGCCUUACACCCUUUGUGUUACAUUCACAGAUCUUCAUGCAGAGAUUAAAGAUAAAGCUGACAGGACAACUUCUUUAGCCACCUGGCUUCCCUAGCAGACAGAAGGGCUGAGUGAUAGAGCUGUUUCUCUGAAGCUCUUGGUUUAAGGAUAAAUUGUUCAAACACUGGCACAUCAUUUAGCAGAAGAAGCAAAGCACUGCUGCAUUUUGGCUUUAUAUGCUGUAGCUGCUGUGCAAUAAUGGUGAAAAGAUGCUCGGAUUACAGUUAUAGGGACUCUAUCAUACGUGGUAAGUGAUUAAACUUUUUUCAUUCAAUUAAAGCUUUU
rnacentral:lncRNA from 1 species